rnacentral:lncRNA from 1 species
AGUAGGGCGUCCUACCCUGAUUCCCUCCCCAUUUCCCGUAUGUACUCUCUCUCUUCCUCAGACCUCACUUUCUCUCUCCCUCUCCUUCGAACUCACACGGACCACCACAAAACCACCCUAAAUCUAUACCAACGUCAAGUUUGAGACCACCAUUGGAAUCCUGAGGACUUCACGAUCACGUUGGUAUCCAUUUCAGGUAAGUUUUGCUUAGGAAAACCCCUAGUUUCCAAGUUCCCGUGAAGAGCACUGUUCAUGAUCUUCGAAUUGGCUUUGUUUUAGGUGAAACCAAGCUCACAGUGAGCUUAAGGAAGUCCCAAGGAAGCUCGGAGUGCUUCGUUGGAAGUUUUUGGACGUAAGAACACGGAGAUCGACAAGUUUAAAGUUUGGCCGGAGCUUUCGAGGCUCUUUCCGGCGAAUCCCCGGCGAGUUAGGAGUUGAGGUAGGUAUCAAUCUCUUCGUCUCGUCAAGUACUACAACUUUCCUUUUUGUUUCACUCAAUUUCGUUGAGUAUUGAAGAAGUUAUACUCAUUUGAAAAAUACCCAGUUUCCGGCGACCUCCGAGGCUUUCGAGGCAGUUUUCCGGCCAAACCACGGCGAACUAGGUGUUGUACAAGGUACCAUUCUCUUUGUCUCUUCAAGGGCUACAACUUUCGUUUUUGAAUCACUUGAUUUCGUUGAGAAAUGACAAAGUUAUGGCAAUUUGAAAAACUGCCCAGAAAACGGCCGCCGGAAAAACCAGUCCGGCGACCCAAGGAAGAAGAUGAUGCGCGUGGGGGCGCGUGGGCCGUGCUUUCCUUGGCGCGUGGGGGCGCGUGCUACAGUAAAAAAAUUAAUCUAAAAAUAUGUCGACGUCCGUGACGUCGAGUAGAUCACCGUGGUAUAUUCAUAUACCCAAUUUGAGCAAUAUAUGAGGAGUUAUUAGCUAAGAAUUAGGUUAUGCGUUAAAUAACGUUAAUUCGGUUAUUUCUCGUAUAGGCGAGGCUUGUACGGACGUUGGGCAUAACUAAGGGAGGCUCAGGAACCUACGACACGUCGAUGUAUUCUGUGAGUGGGCCGUUUUGUUUUCCGUAUAUAUAUAUACUUGACGUUUCCCAGAAAUUGAAUUGAAAUGAAAAUAUGUUUAAAAUGAAAUGCAUAUGAGUUAUGUGGAAAAACGGGAAGUGAAAUACCAUGCAUAGAAUUGAUAUGAAAAGUAUAUAGAAAUGUGAGUUGAAAUGCCAUGCAUGAAUUAAUAUAUGAUGCAUAUGUAUGAAUUGGUGCGGUGGACGCACAGGUAAGAAUUGAUUUAUGAUGCAUAUAUAUGAAUUGGUGCGGUGGACGCACAGGUAAGAAUUGAUUUAUGAUGCAUAUGUAUGAAAUGGUGCGGUGGACGCACAGGUGAGUAUUUAUUUCUGUUAUGAUGAUGUUGAUGUAUAUUGAGCUCAAAUCCUGCACCAUAGUUUAGUGCUUAUAGUAUUCACCGCAUCGCACGCUCGUCUUGGAUCCAAGUAGAUGCUAGUCGUACAGUCCACGCGGAGUGGGUACGACAGGCCAGUCGCGAGAGUGUUAGUGAGAUUCCGACUGGUGGGUGACCUUAGAUUAUGUGCACAGAUGAUUGAUGAGAAAGCACUAGAGCGUAACUUGUGUGCAGAAGGUCGAACAGGUCACGCGGAGUGACUCCGGCAGAGUGUGAGAGUGAUAGAUUUUGAGCUCUAGGUUCAACCGGGCUAAUAGAGGGCCUCCGGUUGAUUACUUUAUUGCACCUGAUAUGAUUUAUGUUGAUGCAUUCAUACCUUAUUACUGUUGAGAUGAUGUGGCAUGGCAUAAUUAAUAUGAGAAAUGUUGAGAUGAUGUGGCAUGGCAUAAUUAUGAUGAAAAUGUUGAGUUAAUGACUUGAAGUCUUGAGAAUAUAUAUGUAUAUUUAUAUUUUACAUUUCUGGGAAAGUAUACAGGUUUUACGGAGAGGGGUUACAACGUUUUGAGAAAUGUUUGGAUUUGGAAAAGAAUUGUUUUACUGACCCACUCAAUUUUGGUUUUGCGCCCCUCCAGGUUCAGGAAUCACAAAGGUGUGGUGACUACGAGGAAUUUGACGGUGUUCUGACAGAUUGGACAAAAUUAGGACUCACCUUCGGGUGUAUCAACUUAUAAAUUGUAUCUUAAAGCUUCCGUACUGUGUAAAUGGUUACGUCACUCUCACGUGACGGCCAGCAUGCCCUCCUUCGGGACGGGGUGUGUCACACACACACAUGCACAGUACUACAUAUAUGAUCAAACAUAUUAAACUAAUUAAUCUACCUAUAUUUAAAUUUAUGAUGAGCAAAUAACAUAUAU